UGUCAAAAAGAUGCUAUUCCUGUGAUUAAAACCAUUACAGUCCUUCAAAGGUUUUACAUGACUUUCAGGCUUCAGCCUCAGUAGCAGCAGACUAAUGCAGAUUGUGACAAGCAUGACUCCCAUGAUGGAUAUUUGUGAGAGAAAGGACAGUAAAGAGUAAAACUCCUGGAAAUGAAGUUGGUGAAAGAGAACUUCAGAGUGCCAGCUUGUCAGUAAGGAGACCCCCAGCAGAUUCUUGUCAGACAUUUACUGAACACUGGGUGCUAACUGCAGGCUUGGUGUUGUACAUGCUGUCUGUUAUUUAAUACUGACAGCAAACUUGUGAAAAGCAUAAUACAGCUAUUUAAAAAAUCGCUAGAGAAGUUAAUUACACAAAACCAGAGCCAGCAGUUAGUGGGGCUGGAUUCUGAGCUCAGUUCUCCAACUCCAAAAUUUCAUGCUCUUUCUACUCCCUUCCCCAAAUGCAGCAUUUUUCUCUUGUUGGUUAAACAAGCAUAAUGUAUGAAGAUUAUAGCAUAUAUUGAGCACUAAAUUGUGUAAAAUUUUUAACAGGCAUUCUACAAAAUUCAGUUUGACAAAGUUUUAGAGUAUGACAAAAAAUUUUUCCAGCUUUUAUUAUUUGAAGACUGACUCUAGCCUCUAGAAGGAGAUCAUAUCCCAAUCAGUCCCAUAUUCUGUUCUAUUCAAGAGAGCCAACCAAUCUAGGUCAAUGUCAAGAGCAUUGAUCUCUAGUGCACAUUUGUACACCGAAGCAUGUGAGAGGAAAAUCAGCAUCUUAUUCAUCCUUAUUGCUAACUAAAAUAUGAAAAAAUUUGAGUUUUAAUAAUGGUUAAUCGUUGGAUUGAUAUUGGAGCCCUUAUAAAACCCCUGGACAAGAAUCAGCCACAUAAUUUGCAGGGCCCACUGCAAAAUGAAAAUGUAUGUUGUUUUCCCUAAAAAUUAUAAAAUGUUUUCAAGACAGUGAUAGCAAACAUUAAACCAGAUGCAAGGCCCUUUUGAGAAUGGGGAUCUGUGAGCCUGCACAGAUUUGCAUGCCUAGGAAGCCAACCCUGGCGACAAGUCAUUUUCUAUUUCUGAAGGAUUCUGAGGGAGGAAUAACACUUCACGCGUUUGUUCCCUGUGGCAUAUAAAGGAACGGACAUGGACUACAUUACCUAGUUUUAUCUAACUAUCGGGGAAUUGAUGGGGCUUCAAAAGAUUCCCACAAAGACAUUGUGGAUAUUUAUCAUGCGAGCCCAGGUGAAUGGCAAGAUAAUGGCAGGGGUGACAGCCUUUGUGCUCCUAGAAGAAUCCUCUUGUAGUAAAUGAGGUUACUUUAAAAAAAUGAGAAAAAAUUUAAAAUAUGUAUUUGAAACCACUUUCAAAACAGAGUUAGCCUGUGCUAAGUAUAUAUUUUAUCUUUUAAGAAUACCUAAUGAUAACAAAAAGCCAUCACAAUUAGCAAGGUUUUCAAAGUAUGACAUCAUCUAAUGUGUUUUGAUUUCUUAAUUUGUAUAUGCUCUGACUGGGGGAUCAGGGCGGGCGCUGCAGGGGAGAGCAAUGGGGGGAAAACUGGGACAACUGUAAUUGAGCAACAAUAAAAAAAGAAUUUACAUAAUUAUACAAUCUACAUUUAAAAAAUAAA